GAUUACAUGGGGAUAUUUAAAGCAGAAGAAGUUACAGAAGCACUUCACUCCAUGAGAAAAAAUAAACUUUUUGAUGAAAAAGGAGUGUUUGGUAGUUGUUGCAGUCGGCAUUCACACCCUAGACGAUUUUUCAGCCCUAAAUAUGUGGAAAGAAUUUCGUAUUCGCUGUUCCUAAUCCAAAGCAUUUUAAAAGAAGCUGACCAAAGUCCUGGUGUUGAUUUAAAAAUAAUGUAUGCUAUUGGAUGUGUAUUAUUAUCACAUUUAAAGGCAAACAAGAGGCAUGACAUUUCGUCAAAAGUGUCAUUUUCGGUGACGAUAUUUCAUUGUUAUGGACACAAGGUUUCAUGGCAGGUCAAAUUCUGUCCUAGAAGGCUCGAUGGUUUUGGUCUAACAGAUGUUGAAGCUAUUAAAAUGCUCUGGGCUUACCUUCGUGGGUUCUCAGCAAUUACUAAGGAGAUGUCUGCCAGUAGAAGGGUCAUCUUUUGACAGAUGCGCUUCUUCACUUAUCUCGAAGAAAUUUUAGCAAUGCAGAACGUAAAGAAACCACUGAGAUCUGGAAAAUGACGUACGUUCAAAAGCUACUGCAUUUUAAACAACUUAGUACUACAUCAUUCGGAUGUUUUGAAGAAAACCUGGAGAAAAUCUCUGAAGAUUACUCAAUUCAUCAGAUGUCGAAAAACUAUACCAAAAGAUGGAAACCUGGUCAUCCUAGUUUUGACGUCGUUGCAUUGCAAGUCAUACAAAGAAAAGGAAAACAUACUGUCGGAGAUUUUCAUGGACUUUCCAUCGAAAGGCAUUUCUUAAUAACAUUGAGAAAGAAGUAUGCAGGCCUUCCCAUGUUUCUUAUUUUGCUCGAGAUUAACUCCACACAGAUGACUAACUUUACCGAUGUUCAAGCUAACGAAACGAUGCUGACGAGAGAGUGCUGUCUGCUUCGGCACCCUUGAUGGCACUGCCGCUGUAAGAGGUUGUCAACUCUGUUUCAUCAAGAUUCCUUAUGUCGCGUAAAAUGCUCAGAUGUUCUAAAAGUGUUGAGAAAUAAAUAUAAGAGUAUAUCUGUUCGAGAAUGUGGGCUCAUUGUACGAAAGUGUUUUCCUAUGGUGAAGCGAAUUCAUAGCAAUCAUGUCUACUUUUAUUCUGGCAUUAGCCACAUCGACGCCAUUGAAUGUGUUAAACAAUGUCAUACGGAAAAUGAUUGCUCAACUGAGAAUAAAAUGCUAUGUGGAUUACCUCAUUGCAUGAGUAUCAAUCGGUCGGAAUUGCUACGUUCCUCAUCAAAGACCCUACAUAUUCAUUCCCAAAUGAAGCCUACAUAUUCAUUCCCAAAUGAAGCCUACAUAUUCAUUCCCAAAAGGAACUGGAGUGUACAUGUCCUUUGAAGGAUUGUGCUACACUCAUGGAAUCACUUUUGCCGAGUGGAUAUCAUUUUUCAUUAAGAUAUGGGAAGGCAUAGAGCUGUUGAAUUCUUGUGGAUUUGCUUAUAGAGGUCUUGGAGUUGAAAACAUUAUUGUUGUGAAAAA